rnacentral:rRNA from 1 species
GAAAGGCGUAGUCGAUGGGAAACGGGUUAAUAUUCCCGUACUUCUUACAAUUGCGAUGGGGGGACGGAGAAGGCUAGGUGGGCCUGGCGACGGUUGUCCAGGUUCAAGUGCGUAGGCUGAGUGUUUAGGUAAAUCCGGAUACUCUUAAGGCUGAGACACGACGUCGAGCUACUACGGUAGUGAAGUCAUUGAUGCCAUGCUUCCAGGAAAAGCCUCUAAGCUUCAGAUUGUAAGGAAUCGUACCCCAAACCGACACAGGUGGUCGGGUAGAGAAUACCAAGGCGCUUGAGAGAACUCGGGUGAAGGAACUAGGCAAAAUGGUACCGUAACUUCGGGAGAAGGUACGCUCUUGAUGGUGAAGUCCCUUGCGGAUGGAGCUGACGAGAGUCGCAGAUACCAGGUGGCUGCAACUGUUUAUUAAAAACACAGCACUGUGCAAAAUCGUAAGAUGACGUAUACGGUGUGACGCCUGCCCGGUGCCGGAAGGUUAAUUGAUGGGGUUAGCGUAAGCGAAGCUCUUGAUCGAAGCCCCGGUAAACGGCGGCCGUAACUAUAACGGUCCUAAGGUAGCGAAAUUCCUUGUCGGGUAAGUUCCGACCUGCACGAAUGGCGUAAUGAUGGCCACGCUGUCUCCACCCGAGACUCAGUGAAAUUGAAAUCGCUGUGAAGAUGCAGUGUACCCGCGGCUAGACGGAAAGACCCCGUGAACCUUUACUACAGCUUGGCACUGAACAUUGAACCUACAUGUGUAGGAUAGGUGGGAGGCUUUGAAGACGUGACGCCAGUUGCGUUGGAGCCGUCCUUGAAAUACCACCCUUGUAUGUUUGAUGUUCUAACGUUGGCCCCUAAUCGGGGUUGCGGACAGUGCCUGGUGGGUAGUUUGACUGGGGCGGUCUCCUCCCAAAGAGUAACGGAGGAGCACGAAGGUGGGCUAAUCACGGUUGGACAUCGUGAGGUUAGUGCAAUGGCAUAAGCCCGCUUAACUGCGAGAAUGACGGUUCGAGCAGGUGCGAAAGCAGGUCAUAGUGAUCCGGUGGUUCUGAAUGGAAGGGCCAUCGCUCAACGGAUAAAAGGUACUCCGGGGAUAACAGGCUGAUACCGCCCAAGAGUUCAUAUCGACGGCGGUGUUUGGCACCUCGAUGUCGGCUCAUCACAUCCUGGGGCUGAAGUCGGUCCCAAGGGUAUGGCUGUUCGCCAUUUAAAGUGGUACGCGAGCUGGGUUUAGAACGUCGUGAGACAGUUCGGUCCCUAUCUGCCGUGGGCGUUGGAAGAUUGAAGGGGGCUGCUCCUAGUACGAGAGGACCGGAGUGGACGAACCUCUGGUGUUCGGGUUGUGUCGCCAGACGCAUUGCCCGGUAGCUAAGUUCGGAAUCGAUAACCGCUGAAAGCAUCUAAGCGGGAAGCGAGCCCUGAGAUGAGUCUU